rnacentral:rRNA from 1 species
GGUUGGGUUAACGUACCGUAACGAGCGCAACCUGUCCUAGUUACCAGCACGUUAUGGUGGGCACUCUAAGGAGACUGCCGGUGACAAACCGGAGGAAGGUGGGGAUGACGUCAAGUCAUCAUGGCCCUUACGGCCUGGGCUACACACGUGCUACAAUGGUCGGUACAAAGGGUUGCCAAGCCGCGAGGUGGAGCUAAUCCCAUAAAACCGAUCGUAGUCCGGAUCGCAGUCUGCAACUCGACUGCGUGAAGUCGGAAUCGCUAGUAAUCGUGAAUCAGAAUGUCACGGUGAAUACGUUCCCGGGCCUU